AGCUUUGAGCAGUGGCAGUAUGGUAGCCAAUGCAGUUUAUCCAAGGUGCAAUUAUUAUUAAUUGAAAACUGUUUCCAAUACUUCACUGUAAUGACUUGCAAUAUAGUCAGCAUUGGCAAUUUUUUGUUCAUUUGUUUAAGAAAU
ensembl:snRNA U4 U4 spliceosomal RNA